UCUCAAUUAAAUUAAAAAAAUUGAUAUUAUUUAAUUAAAUUUUCUGAGAUUAUUAGUUGUAAUUCUUAGUUUAGAAUUGAAUUUUUGUGAUUGAGAUUGGAUUUUGCAAUUUGAGAUUUAUAUUUAUAUCCAG